AGUGAACGCUGGCGGUAGGCCUAACACAUGCAAGUCGAACGGCAGCACAGUAAGAGCUUGCUCUUACGGGUGGCGAGUGGCGGACGGGUGAGGAAUACAUCGGAAUCUACUUUUUCGUGGGGGAUAACGUAGGGAAACUUACGCUAAUACCGCAUACGACCUACGGGUGAAAGCAGGGGAUCUUCGGACCUUGCGCGAUUGAAUGAGCCGAUGUCGGAUUAGCUAGUUGGCGGGGUAAAGGCCCACCAAGGCGACGAUCCGUAGCUGGUCUGAGAGGAUGAUCAGCCACACUGGAACUGAGACACGGUCCAGACUCCUACGGGAGGCAGCAGUGGGGAAUAUUGGACAAUGGGCGAAAGCCUGACCCAGCCAUACCGCGUGGGUGAAGAAGGCCUUCGGGUUGUAAAGCCCUUUUGUUGGGAAAGAAAAGCAGCAGGUGAAUACCCCGCUGUUCUGACGGUACCCAAAGAAUAAGCACCGGCUAACUUCGUG
rnacentral:rRNA from 1 species